rnacentral:misc_RNA from 1 species
GCAAACUUGGUCAUUUAGAGGAAGUAAAAGUCGUAACAAGGUUUCCGUAGGUGAACCUGCGGAAGGAUCAUUAGUGAAUGAACUUGGUCAAGUUGUUGCUGGUCUUGAAGACAUGUGCACGCUUGGCUUUUGUUUCUAACCACCUGUGCACCUUUUGUAGACUUGGAGUUUUUGAAACAUUUUGUUUCGUGUGGGGAAUUGCGUUAGCUUUCCUUGUCCCCUCCAGUCUAUGUUUUUAUAUACCCUUUUGAAUGUAAAGAACGUGUAUUGGGCUUUUCUAAGCCUUUAAAACAUAUACAACUUUCAACAACGGAUCUCUUGGCUCUCGCAUCGAUGAAGAACGCAGC